rnacentral:lncRNA from 1 species
UAUAUGGAAGAGCGAGAGAAGCAGCUGAAGGUCGUCAUGUCUACUUGCGGCUAAAGGGUAUUCUGGUCAUUUCAUAUUGCUCCUAAAUUUGACUGAAAGCUAAUGCGUGUGAUCAAUAUGACAGCCGACGCAUUACUGAUUUAUCUGCGGUACUUCAAUAUGACAGAUAAGUCACUCUCUAUCUCUAUCUGUUCAUCUUCUUUGUUUUUCUCUAUCUAACCAUCUUCUUUGUUUUUCUCUAUCUAAUUUGUAUCUAAUUUCAAAGUACAGAAUUAAAUUUGCUAUGCUUUUUCCUCUCUUCGGUGAGAAUUCCACAACCUUUUUCUUCGCUGUAAGAAAGAAUUGGUGUUUGGCUUGGAUUUUUGUGGUUCAUUAGUUGCUAAAUUGACAUAAUCACAUGGUUCACAGUCACCGCUGAUCUUCGCUCAGAAUUCCUUUGGCUUCUGCUUCUUCGUUGUAACAGAAAUUAGGGUUUUGUUUGGGGUUUUGUAGUUCAGUAGUUGCUCAAUUGACAUAAUCAUAUGGCUGAAAGGUUGGUUUAUUGUUCUAUUUGUUUCCAUUACAUGUGACUGUGAUUGUUUUAUUUUUGGGUUCUUGCUGAUUUGUUGCUCGAAAUUAAAUUGUAAUUUUAUGUUAGUUUUGAGAAAUUCAAAAAUACCUAGAAAAGAAAUUGGGAUUUCCUUCGACUAUCUAACGUUUAGGCUCUUUAUUGCUUUGGUUGCCACUUUGCUGCUAUUCUGGAGAUCAUCCAUUAAUUGAAGUUCUCUGCACCUUCCUAUUCAAUAUGGAUUUUCCCAAUAAGGAAAACUAACAAAUACAGAGGGUGACAAUUGGUUGUCCGUUGAGUUGAGAUUAUGGGUUCAAAAUUUAAUAUUAGUUGAAAUUUUGGUGGUAUUUGGGACCGCGCAUAGGGGUUUAAACCAGCAAUGUUCAAUGAUAUUUUUUAUGUACUAAUAUGUAAACUUUUUUUAUGGAUAAUCUAAAAAAUAAGUCUUUCUUAUGUAUAAGAGGAAAGGGUAUGGAUAUGCUUCCUCUGAGAUUUCUCUAACAAGCAAAGUUUUGUUUAGUUUAUAAAAAGAUUAGUGAGAAAGCUGAGAUUUUAAUAAUUUGGAGGUCAUUAUGAGCUCAUUGUAUUUUUUUAUUGUUAUCAAGAAAUGUGAAUAUGAGCUCAUUGUCUUUUUUGAUAAAAAAAAAAUGUGAAUUCUGAGCUAAGCUAUAUUCACUAUUAGAUUUGACAAUCUAUCCGGCGAUAGAAACUGUGAUGUUUAAUUGUUAGCAUGUAGGAAAGAGCUCAUAUGGAGAAAUUAGGUAAAUACACACAUACAGAGAGAGAGACUUGGUCAUCUUUAAUCUUUUGGGCACUCCCACAAUUUUAGCAUAUAAUUAACUGGAAGGCUACAAUGUUACCAUCUUUCAAUAAACUUUGACAAGAACUAACUUGAAACAUGAAGUCAUGGAAAAUCUUCAUAGUUUUUCUUUUUCCUGAGAAGGUAACAUGAAUGUUCAUGGCUUAUUUGUGGAACUGAUUAUAAAAUUGUAACACUAAGUGUAUUAGCAUAUAACUAAUAAACACUUCUAUAGCAAAUCUACUAUAACUUGUUGUUAUGCAUCUCAUUUGACUUCGAAUUUUCUUGCAUAAAUUGCAGAUAUUGAACUAAUUGAUAGACUUCAAUCAGUUCCUACAGUUACUUACAUGAUUUUUUUAACCAAAAGUACAAGGUAUACAAAAAUAAUGUACCUCUUCAUCAUCUCUGUUCUCACUUCUCUCAUACCUUAAAGAAAAGGAAGAUAAAGGCUGAAGAGUUAUUAAAAAGGUGGAAACAAAAGUAGAAAGCACUAAUGAAACUAUGUGAAAAUAAGAUCCGCCCUAAGCUUAGUCGCCCAUAGUCUUCAAGAUUGAGCAUUACCAAAGAAUGUAAAUACCNNN